UCCCCGGUAGUAUAUCGGUUAGUACAUGCGCCUGUCACUUUACAGGCCGCGCAAGAGCCGAGUUCGACUCUCGGCCGGGGAG